rnacentral:rRNA from 1 species
UACGAAGGGGGCUAGCGUUGCUCGGAAUCACUGGGCGUAAAGGGUGCGUAGGCGGGUCUUAAGUCAGGGGUGAAAUCCUGGAGCUCAACUCCAGAACUGCCUUUGAUACUGAAGAUCUUGAGUUCGGGAGAGGUGAGUGGAACUGCGAGUGUAGAGGUGAAAUUCGUAGAUAUUCGCAAGAACACCAGUGGCGAAGGCGGCUCACUGGCCCGAUACUGACGCUGAGGCACGAAAGCGUGGGGAGCAACA